ACUGCGGGGAGGGACGCUGCCGGUUUACAGGUCACCAGGGAAGGGCUCUCUGGAAAGGCAGCAUGUGAGUGAGAACUGAUGGAGACGAGGAGGACCCAGGGGCUCAGGCAGAGCAAGUCAUGUGCCUAAGAUUUCCCUCCCCGAAGUGGUGAGUGUAGGCAGGCUGGGCUGCUCUGCCGGGUGACGUGACAUUGUGUCAGGUUAAGUGGAAAAGGGUUUCUCCUGCGGCUCUACCCUCCCUCCCUCCCCGUUAGAGCAGAGACUCCCUGCUGAAGGCAGAGAUGGGGGGUCUCUCUCGGGCACUUGAGUAAAUGCCUGGCACAUUUGGAGACCCUAGCUGGGCACUGCACUCCCUCCUCCCACUGACCAAAAACAGGAUGGCUGUGGGUAGCCAGGAACAGCCAAGCCGGCAGGGGAGGCCUCCCUCCACCUUCUCCCAGGCUCUGCUGGGGAAGUCUUUUCUCAAGGAGAUGAGUUUUUUGGUCUUAACUUCCUGUUUGGUUCUGAUCCCACAUGGAUCCUGCCCAUCUGCCAGAGAGCAGGAGAAACAAGCACAGCUCGUGGGGACCUGUGAUUUUAUACACUUACUGUGAUGAUAAUAACAAAGUUAACAUUAAUGUAGGAUGAACCAGAUGCCAGGUACGCACAUUACCUCGUUUUACACUCACACCCUAUGAAAUGUGAAUUAUCAACAUCCCAUUUUACAGAUGAGGAAACAGAGACACAGAGAAGUAAGGGAAUUUGCUCAAGGCCACAGAAUUAGCGAGUAGAGACCGGAAUGUGGGGAGUCUGAAACCACAUUCAUCACCACUGUAUACACAUCUCUCUCUCUCAUUCACACACACACACACAAACUGGCCAGGGGACAAGGCUGAUGAGGCUGAUGGAUAGACAAGCAAGUCAGGAGACCAUCCCAGAAUGUCGAGUGCAGAGCGGAUCCACACCCAUGGGGCUGGGGGCGGGGGGGGGGGGGCCCAAUGGAGGCACCCAAGGCAUCACUGGUGGUCAGGGAAGGCCUCCUGGAGGAAGGGGCAGCUGGGCUGAGCCAUGAAGAAUCACCAGGAGGCAGCUGGGUGUGUGUGCAGGGUGCCAGACCCAUGAGGAUCCUCAGACUGGGCUCAGGAUUAGAGACAAGAUCUACAGGCUGCCCGUCAGAUAAGGGAGCAGAAGGCAGGGAUGGAAGAUUCUCCGUCUGUUCGGGAGGCACAUGGUAAGGGCUUGCGUCAAAUCCCCACGGAAGGUUCAGGAAGUGCUGGCUCCUCUGGCACUGUGCUCAGGCCUGCAUCAGCUCAUGGAAUUGUCCCCCAAACUCUUGUUGGGAAGGAGCUAUUUUUAGCCCUCUGAAAGGUCAGCAAAUAGGCUCAGAGACCUUCAGCGCCUGGGGUGAGGUCACACCGCUGGUGAGUGAGGGGCCAGCAUCUGUGCAGGCAAAGGGGCUACGGGCUGCAGGCUGCCAAGCUUGAGGCACUCGGGCAGGAGGCUGGCUUCUGCGUGUCCCAACUUGUUAGGCCUGCAUCUCCAGACUCCACUACUUACUACUGUUUUUCUUUGAGGAAACCCACUUUAAAAAAAACAAGUAUCAUACAUUUUUUUAAAUAAAGGAAAGCCUGUAAUAGCAUUCUGAAUGGGAACCAGUUUUCGCUUACCAUACAUAGAAGGCGCCUGAAAUGAUAAACGCAGAAUGAAACAACACGGUGCGUUUCUGGCCUGAGUCCUGCCUGAAGUCCGCCAGGGAGGCCUGCUCUUUGGUUAGAUAAAAAGGGAGGAGCAGCAGGUGCUGGGAGGUGUUAAAGACAGCAGCGCCCACUGGAGCCUUUCUUCCUGGCAAAGUGAGGAGGCUCCACAUGACUUCAAAAGGGAACAGCUCUGACGGCCAGAUGAAACUGAAACUCAAGGAAAUGGAGAACAGCUUAUCCUUGUACACUUCUCGUGCCUGACCCCUCGUAGCAUUUUUUGGUUGAAACUAAAAGGAUCCAAAUUGUUUCUAGAUCUUUGCUAUUUUAGGCAGAAAAGGAUUUAGCACAGGGAAUAGGUGCUUGGAAGAUCAUUGGAAAAGCUGGAAGAGUGGGCACUAGGCUGGGCUCCCAGGAAAGACUCCCUGGACAGGGCAACACCAGCCAGCCAGAGGAGCUGCCCAUUCAGCCAACUGGGAAGGUGGGCAUCAGGAGUCUCCAGUGGAAUGAAUAAAUGCUAGAACACACUGCCAGAGCUGUGAUCCAGGCAUCAGGAAACUGCUGCCACUGCACCUGCCUUCCACCUCCCACAAAACAUGUCACUGGACACUGGAAAGCAGGGUCAGGCGUUGCCUCUGCUCAACUGCCUGUGCAUGCCCUGAAUUCUGCUGCAGAAAAGCCCCACACCUCUGCAAACUUGCUCACUAGCAGCAAACAGCCCAAAUGACAGAAAGAUGCCUCUGCUCCGUUUCUACCUUCAAAAUAUUGUGCAAGUGCAUCCAAUUGGCAGAAACUAAUUCUUAUCCAGAAACCUGGCUGCAGAGGAGUCUGGGAAAUGUUAGCUUUUCUGCCAAGAGAGUACACUGGAAAGAGAUGAGAAUUAAUGUGCCCAAAUUCAGUACCUCAGCAAAUCCAAACCCUUUCAGGAACCCCCACCUUGAGAAGCCCCUUAUGGCUCAUAGGCUAGAACAGUGUCACAUGAUCACUCUUAGCUGCAAGAGAGUCUGGAAUUUGAGGAUACAGGAGAAGGAAACAGUCUUGGCUUGGAUGGGAGCAGGCAGGUUGUGUUCCUGAACACGAUCGGGGUUCCGUUGGCAGGGAGGUAGAGGAGGUAGGCUGCUGGGGGGCUGGUAACUCACAGACGGUGCCACUGGGCUGUGUGUGGCAGUGAGUGUGAAUAACACGGGGAGUGCAUGUGUGCAGGUGGGAAGCAGCACACAUGAGUGUGUGAAUGUGAUGGGGUUGAGACUGAAGGGGCCUGAAGUGCUGAAGGAAGGAGAAAGGGUUUUCCCUUCUGGUGGAGGACCCACUUACUCCCAGUUUCCAAGGGAAUAUAACAUUAAUCUGCUCUGGGACUGAGGACCUCUGAUUACUCAUUGUGGCUUGGUUCUCUAGGAAUGUGGGAGAUAGAAUCUGGAGCACAUGCAGAGAAAUUGUGUUCAAAUAGAAAGUGGACAGUGUUUUGAACAAAUUGCUGUGUUUUCUCCUAAUGUGUGUUCUCUGACCAUUCCUGGGUCUUCUUUAGGACAAAAGCUUUUUAUUCCAAUUCUCCUCUCUUUGUCAGAUACUGCAGUGACCAUUCCAAACGUUUUCUCCCCAUCUGGAAUCCUCCCUCCUCCCUGAUGCCUCCUCUCUUAGCACAUGCCUUCUCUUCCUACUUCUGGUGGAAGCUGAGUCCUCACUGAUGGUCGCAGCCUACCUCCCGAUUUCCGUGUACGUCGCUCCCCAGCUCUUUCUGCUUCUGCUCUUUUCCCAAGGCAGAUCCAACCACCCAUGUCUAUACAUCAGUUCUUCCCUCCUCUGUGUUCAUUUCCAAUCAGAAUUCAUUCUUCGGAACACCUGCCGUGUGCCAGGUGCUGUGCUGGCAGCAGAUGAUACAGUGAAAGGAAGGCCUUGUGGGUUCCAGGUUUGGUGGUAGCAUCAUGGCUUUGGCGGGGGCAGGUCUCGUUUAGAGCCUGGCUCUGCCCUGAGCCUUUGGUAAGUGACUCUUACUAUCUAAGUCUCUGCUUCCUCUCUUGGAAGAAGUGGGAGUACUAAAACCAGUCUCAAAGGGUUACUGGGAAGCUUAAGUGAGAUGACAUGUUUCAGUGCUUAUAGAACUGGGCCUGGCACAGGGUGAGGACUGAAGAAAUGGAAAUGGAAAGAAAUGGCAUUUCUUUCUUUUUUGUCUGCCUAGCUCCUUCUUUCUAUGGAAGAGUGCUCUCCUCCUUCCCUUAUGUAGUUUGGGUGAGGCAGUCAAAUCUCAGUGCCCCACCUGCCCUCUGGUCAGGGAAUGGGCUCAGGAGCCGGAUCUUGCCAAAGUACCCCCGUCCCUGGUAUUGAUAAAAAUGGGGUCAUGCUGCAUAUCUGCAUUAUAACAGGACUUUUUCAUUUAAUAUGUCACUAAUGUCUUUCCUGUUGAAACCAUAAUUGUGGAAUAUUAUUUAAAAGCUGCGGAGUAUCCUAUAAUAUAGAUGCACCAUGAUUCAUUUAAUCCAGUCCCCUGGUAAUGGAUGUUAUGGACUGAAUGUUUGUGUACCCUCCCGAAAUUCAUAUGCUGAAGCUCUAACCUUCAAUAUGAUAGUAUUUGGAGAUGGGGCCUUUGGGACGUAAGUAGAGUAAGAUUAAGUCGUGAGGAUGGGGCCCUCAUGUUGGGAAUAGCACCCUUAGAAGAACUGGAAAAGACAGCAGAACUCUUUCUCUCUGCCACGUGAGGGCGCAGUGAGAAGGCAGUCAGCAAGCCGGGAAGAAGGCUCUCCCAAGAGCCCCACCCUGCUGGCGCCCUGCUCUUGGCCUUCCAGCCCCCAGAACUGUGAGAAAAUACAUUUCUGUUGUUGAGCACCCCCACCCCCGGCAAUGGUGUUUUGUUACGGGAGCCCAGCAGACUAAUAUAGAUUAUAAUGGAUAUAUAGGCGAUUUCCAUUUUUUUCUAUGGUAACUUGAAUUUAGUUGCCCAGUCUACCAGCCCUUUUCCCAGUCCCCAGCACUCGUGAUGUCUUGCAGCAGCAGAUCUGUCAGUCACCCUCUCCUUGAAGCAGUCUCAUCCCUUCGUUGACGGCUCAUUCAACAGGUACAGGGGGCCGCCCACUCGUCCGGAGUUGGCUUCCAUCACACAGCGCCUGCCAGUUCUUCUCCGUCUCUGAGCCAGGGUCUGGGGAGGCAAGCAGGUCAGAGUUGGGUUCUGGAGCUCGUGACACUGGUUGUGCGGACCUGAGGAAGGUGUGUAACCUCCUUGAACCUCAGCUCUCUUUUUCUGUAAUAUGGGAAUAACGGCAUGUGCCUCCACAGCUUCCUGCAAGAAGGAAAUGCAAUGUGUGCAUGGCGGGCGUGGGAUCAGGGCCCAGAAGGCUUCAUCCCCGUCCCCCUUGCCUCCACCUCCACACAGACAGCCUUAUGGGGCAUCGUGAAGGAAGGAGGAGAGCAGAGCAGAACCCGUGACUCCAGCCUCUGGGGACCACUUCUGAACUGGAAACUGUGCAAGCAUGGGCUGUCAUCUCUUGUAGAGGCAGUCACGUGCAUUCUCUCUUUGUUCAGCAACUAUUUUUUUUAGCAUCUGUGUCAUGCUUGGCUCUGUGCCAGGCACAAAGGGGGAUGGAAGAAAUACAGGUCAAGGCCCUAGUCAUUGAAAUGACAGUCACAAAAAGAACCCUUGAGCUCCUCCAUUCCCAGGACACGGGACUUCCUCACCCCUUAAGCCAGUGUGGAGAGCGUCCAGUGGUAUCUGCCGCCAUCUGCUUUGGAGUGACCCCUUUCUCCUCCUGGCCCAUCCCAUGGAAGGUCUAUCCCUGUUUGAACCUGGGACUGACUUUGGGUCGUCAUCUCUGCUUUCCUCCAUCACUUUGGGGAAGAACUGUGGCUAAGAAAUGGGCCAUGGGGGCAGACAGACCUGGAUUUGAUUCUGACUCAGCCACUAGCUGUCACCCUUGCAAGUUGCUUCAGCUCUCUAUGCGUCACAGUCCUCGUCUCCGAAAUGGAGACAGUGAUAGUAAACACGUUAGUUCCGUGUGAGGUUUAAAUCAGAUAACUCUUAGGAGUGUUAGCCUAGUGCGGGCAUGUGGCUCAGAAAAUGUGAGUUAUGAAGAGGAAUUCUGAUUCCUCCUGCCCCAGGUUCCUGCCUGGUUGGGUUUUGUCUUCUUGUUUCCAUAAAUGAGGUGGAAGAUCAGUCCAGUGCAUUGGGACUAAUGGCAUUUUAUGGCUUGGGGCCAAGAGCUGGGGCUUUGGGGUCGUAUCGCUUGGGGGUACGUUCCCACUUUACUGUGCACUAACCGUGUGACUGGGCAAGUCACUCAACAUCUCUGUGAACCUCAGUUUUCUCAUCUGUAAAAUGGGAAUGAUAAUAGUGCCCACCUCUCAGGGGUGCUGUGAAGAUUAAGAGAAAUCAUGCACUUAGGGUGCUGGGCAUGGGGUACACAUAGUGCCCCCCGAGAGCUCAUUGUAGUGAGCACAGUGCCCAUCAUUGUUUCCCUUCAUUCAUUCAUUCUGAGAAGAGGGUGAAUGGUAUGGGCUUUGGUUAUGUCCGCUGAGAAAAAUGGUAGCUUACUGGGGGCGGGGGUGCUGAUAUGCAUUCUGGGAAUCUCCCCCCACCCCCAGCUGCCUUUGAGAUGGAAACGGAUCGCUUCCCAGUGCGCAGAAAGGAUCUCGAUUAGCUGGGACUAUGAUGUCUGAAGAUUCUUUUUCUGUACAAUGUCUGAAAUGGUUGCUAAUGAGAAUGUCUGAAGUAGUUACUAAUAACCGUUUAAAGACUCCUGACUCAUGUCUGAGAAGCAUGGGGAUUAACAGGAAAUAAAAUCAAUAUCCAUCAAGCAAA